rnacentral:rRNA from 1 species
UACGUAGGGGGCAAGCGUUGUCCGGAUUUAUUGGGCGUAAAGAGCGUGUAGGCGGCUUGACAGGUCUGCUGUGAAAACUCGAGGCUCAACCUCGAGAUGUCGGCGGAAACCGUCUGGCUAGAGUCCGGAAGAGGAGAGUGGAAUUCCUGGUGUAGCGGUGAAAUGCGCAAAUAUCAGGAAGAACACCUAUGGCGAAGGCAGCUCUCUGGGACGGUACUGACGCUGAGACGCGAAAGCGUGGGGAGCGAACAGG